rnacentral:rRNA from 1 species
UCCGAGGCGAAUGGGGAUUAAGAGCUUGCUCUUAUGAAGUUAGCGGCGGACGGGUGAGUAACACGUGGGUAACCUGCCCAUAAGACUGGGAUAACUCCGGGAAACCGGGGCUAAUACCGGAUAACAUUUUGAACCGCAUGGUUCGAAAUUGAAAGGCGGCUUCGGCUGUCACUUAUGGAUGGACCCGCGUCGCAUUAGCUAGUUGGUGAGGUAACGGCUCACCAAGGCAACGAUGCGUAGCCGACCUGAGAGGGUGAUCGGCACACUGGGACUGAGACACGGCCCAGACUCCUACGGGAGGCAGCAGUAGGGAAUCUUCCGCAAUGGACGAAAGUCUGACGGAGCAACGCCGCGUGAGUGAUGAAGGUUUCGGGCGUAAAACUCUGUUG